rnacentral:rRNA from 1 species
UACGUAGGGUCCAAGCGUUAUCCGGAAUCACUGGGCGUAAAGCGCACGCAGGCGGUCUGUCAAGUCGGAUGUGAAAUCCCCGGGCUCAACCUGGGAACUGCAUUCGAAACUGGCAGGCUAGAGUCUUGUAGAGGGGGGUAGAAUUCCAGGUGUAGCGGUGAAAUGCGUAGAGAUCUGGAGGAAUACCGGUGGCGAAGGCGGCCCCCUGGACAAAGACUGACGCUCAGGUGCGAAAGCGUGGGGAGCAAACAGG